rnacentral:lncRNA from 1 species
AGUUGUUCAAGUUUAUUCUUUGUAAAAAUUAAACGGUUGUUUAGCGCAAAAAAAAAUAACGAACAAGAAGAAUAAGGUUUAACCUAAUUGAUAACGACAUUACAUUAUCCCUUAUUACAUUAUCCCUUAUUACAUUAUCCCUUAGAGCUGUUUUGAAUGAGGUUUAACCUAAUUCAUAACGACAUUACAUUAUCCCUUAGAGCUGUUUUGAAUGAGGUUUAACCUAAUUCAUAACGACAUUACAUUAUCCCUUAGAGCUGUUUUGAAUGAGGUUUGAAUGAGGUUUAACCUAAUUCAUAACGACAUUACAUUAUCCCUCAGAGCUGUUUUGUUGAAACACCAAUAGCAGCACAGUUGACAUUAGUCAUAUAGGAAUAAUAUACACUAUAUAAUAUGGCAUAUAUCCCCAAUACCCAUAGCAAUACAGAGCAUAUACAGCCAGGUACAAAAAGAUUAGCACCUUUGAUAAUGAUGAGCAACAAAGACUAUAAAAUAAUACAAAUAAUGAGCGAUAAAGUACAUGCUCAAUUAAAACACACACACACAUAUAUACACACACACACACACACACACACACACACACACACAUAUAUAUAUAUAUAUAUAUAUAUAUAUAUAUAUAUAUAUAUAUAUAUAUAUAUAUAUAUAUAUA